UACGUAGGUGGCAAGCGUUGUCCGGAAUUAUUGGGCGUAAAGCGCGCGCAGGCGGUUUCUUAAGUCUGAUGUGAAAGCCCACGGCUCAACCGUGGAGGGUCAUUGGAAACUGGGAAACUUGAGUGCAGAAGAGAAGAGCGGAAUUCCACGUGUAGCGGUGAAAUGCGUAGAGAUGUGGAGGAACACCAGUGGCGAAGGCGGCUCUUUGGUCUGCGACUGACGCUGUGGCGCGAAAGCUAGGGGAGCAAACGGG
rnacentral:rRNA from 1 species